GAUCAUGGCUCAGGAUGAACGCUGGCGGCGUGCCUAACACAUGCAAGUCGAACGGAGUAAUUAAGCGGAAGUUUCGGAUGGAAGCAUAGUACUUAGUGGCGGACGGGUGAGUAACGCGUGGGCAACCUGCCCUGUACCGGGGGAUAACACUUAGAAAUAGGUGCUAAUACCGCAUAAGCGCACAGCUUCGCAUGAAGGUGUGUGAAAAAACUCCGGUGGUACAGGAUGGACCCGCGUCUGAUUAGCUAGUUGGUGGGGUAGAGGCCUACCAAGGCGACGAUCAGUAGCCGGCCUGAGAGGGUGACCGGCCACAUUGGGACUGAGACACGGCCCAAACUCCUACGGGAGGCAGCAGUGGGGAAUAUUGCACAAUGGGGGAAACCCUGAUGCAAGCGACGCCGCGUGAGUGAAGAAGUAUUUCGGUAUGUAAAGCUCUAUCAGCAGGGAAGAAAAUGACGGUACCUGACUAAGAAGCCCCGGCUAACUACGUGCCAGCCGCAGC
rnacentral:rRNA from 1 species